rnacentral:rRNA from 1 species
UACGUAGGGUCCGAGCGUUGUCCGGAAUUAUUGGGCGUAAAGGGCGCGUAGGCGGCUUGGCAAGUGGAAGGUGAAAUCCCUCGGCUUAACCGAGGAACUGCCCCUCCAAACUGCUUUGCUUGAGGCCGGGAGAGGUGAGUGGAAUUCCCAGUGUAGCGGUGAAAUGCGUAGAUAUUGGGAGGAACACCAGUGGCGAAGGCGGCUCACUGGACCGGUUCUGACGCUGAUGCGCGAAAGCGUGGGGAGCAAACGGG